UACGGAGGGAGCUAGCGUUGUUCGGAAUUACUGGGCGUAAAGCGCGCGUAGGCGGCUUUGUAAGUUAGAGGUGAAAGCCCGGGGCUCAACCCCGGAAUUGCCUUUAAGACUGCAUCGCUUGAAUCCGGGAGAGGUGAGUGGAAUUCCGAGUGUAGAGGUGAAAUUCGUAGAUAUUCGGAAGAACACCAGUGGCGAAGGCGGCUCACUGGACCGGCAUUGACGCUGAGGCACGAAAGCGUGGGGAGCAAACAGG
rnacentral:rRNA from 1 species